AAGCAUAUCAAUAAGCGGAGGAAAAGAAACUAACAAGGAUUCCCCUAGUAACUGCGAGUGAACCGGGAAAAGCUCAAAUUUUGAAUCUGGCGAUCUUUAUGGUCGUCCGAAUUGUAAUCUAGAGAAGUGUUUUCCGCGCUGGACCGUGUAUAAGUUUCCUGGAAUGGAACGUCGUAGAGGGUGAGAAUCCCGUCUUUGACACGGACUACCAGGGCUAUGUGAUGCGCUCUCGACGAGUCGAGUUGUUUGGGAAUGCAGCUCAAAUUGGGUGGUAAAUUCCAUCUAAAGCUAAAUACAGGCGAGAGACCGAUAGCGAACAAGUACCGUGAGGGAAAGAUGAAAAGAACUUUGGAAAGAGAGUUAAACAGUACGUGAAAUUGCUGAAAGGGAAACGCUUGAUGUCAGUCGCGUUCGCCGGGGAUCAGCCUUGCUUAAUCGCUCGGCGUACUUCCUGGUUGACGGGUCAGCAUCAAUUUUGAUCGUCGGAAAAUGGCUUGAGGAAUGUGGCACUCUUUCGGGAGUGUGUUAUAGACUCGGGUCGAAUACGAUGGUUGGGAUUGAGGAACUCAGUACGACCUUAGGGUUCGGGACUUCGGUCUACGUUUGCGUGCUUAGGAUGCUGGCAUAAUGGCCUUAAGCGACCCGUCUUGAAACACGGACCAGGGAGUCUAACGUGCAUCGA
rnacentral:rRNA from 1 species